UCCUGCAUGCGCACUGACUAACCAGGUCUCCUGAGCCCCAUACACGUACGACAUCCGACAGGGAGUCGAUGGUCUGAGUCUGUAAAACUCCUGCUUGAUCCUGUGAAGUGAUUGCAUCGGGUCUGGAUGGGGAUUGAGCAGAGAGCGCGUGAGCCCCGAUGUGAAAUUGGAUCUUUAGAAGAAGCAGCAGCAGUGAGGACGAGCCAUUUACUGAGUGCGCACCGACGGGUGAGCCAGAGCCGGUCCCCUCUGGUGUGCGGUUAUUCUAAAAGCGGCCACCCAUUCAGUGGGUGGCCGCCUGGUGGGAGAGACACGUGAAGUGACAACGGAGAGAUGUUGUGUUCACAGAAGAGGAGAUUUUCACUCAACAUCAUCAGCGACGGACCUCCUUGCUCUGCUCCCAUCGUCGGACCGGUGCGUUUUACGUGCAGCUUUUCCCGGAAUCGGACGGGCGCAGGGAAGCAGGAGCCUAUCACGUUACUACAAGGCAGUAUUGAAUUGCUAGUAAAUCAUUGAAGAUGGCCUGGAGUGGAUCAGCUGUUGCCGGCCUGAGUUGAAGGUGACCUCUCUGGCUGGGCCAAGGGCUGCAACACAGGACAUGGGUCCAGCCUCUCCUCCCCGCUCGUGUCUUGUGUUGCAGCCAGUGGAGCUGCCUGUCUGUACCUCUGCGAGUCUGUCUGCGCUCCCACAACAGGCGGAUCAUACCAGGCACGGACCCGUUCACCCUGCUCCUCACUUCACACCUGGCUUGUGGGACUCGUCACUGUCAUUCUCAGUGUUGUUUUCAAAAUCAAUAUAUAUCCUGUCUCGCAGUUAAAAGGCAAUA